CCUACGGGCGGCAGCAGUGGGGAAUAUUGCACAAUGGGGGAAACCCUGAUGCAGCGACGCCGCGUGAGUGAAGAAGUAAUUCGUUAUGUAAAGCUCUAUCAGCAGGGAAGAAAAUGACGGUACCUGAGUAAGAAUCCCCGGCUAACUACGGGCCAGCAGCCGCGGGAAUACGUAGGGGGCAAGCGUUAUCCGGAUUUACUGGGUGGAAAGUGAGCGUAGACGGCAGUGCAAGUCUGGAGUGAAAGGCGGGGGCUCAACCCCCGGACUGCCCUGGAAACUGUACGGCUGGAGUGCAUGAGAGGUAAGUGGAAUUCCUAGUGUAGCGGUGAAAUGCGUAGAUAUUAGGAGGAACACCAGUGGCGAAGGCGGCUUACUGGACUGUAACUGACGUUGAGGCUCGAAAGCGUGGGUAGCAAACAGGAUUAGAUACCCGGGUAGUC
rnacentral:rRNA from 1 species